ACUGAAUACCAUAGUUCUGAUGUGGAGCAGAUCGGCGAUUUUGGAAUCUUGGUGAGGUCGGGUUUUAGCGUCUCCAAAGCUCUCUUCUUUAACUUUUUAUCUGCACUCGUGGCACUAGCAGGAACUGCGCUGGCCUUGACGAUGGGACAAGAUCCGGGUCAAUCUUCUUUGAUUGAGGGGUUUACCGCUGGGGGUUUUAUCUACAUUUCAGUUGCUGGAGUGUUGGCUGAAAUGAACAAUGGCAGUUCUACUUUGAGAAGUACCUCGGUUCAUUUAGUGUCGUUGAUGCUGGGCAUGGCCAUUGCCCUUUGUAUUUCCCUUGUUGAAUGACAUGGAUGAGUCUGCAGGCAUUGGGCACUCGACGGGUCUGUCUUCCUCUGGCGGUUCAGAGGGGUGCUGAACCGGCCAGAACCCAAAUAAGCUCUCUCCAUUUCCAUUAAAAUCCAUGCUACUUUUGUAACUCGUCUCCUCCACAAAUUCAGUUACACUUUUUUCGUAAUCCUGUUGUAUGUGCAAGAGUAUCAGACAACUAUAAGUACAUAGAAAUGAUCCACUUAGCAACAUUGUUUAGAGAGAGUCUUACGG